rnacentral:rRNA from 1 species
CCCUAUGGGGUGCAGCAGGCGGCUCUGGAAUGGAUGGGAUACGAAGUGGAAUAUCACGAUGUGUCGCUUGGGUUACCAAAGGGGAUAGAUCCCAAGGCAUUCCGGGGCGUGAUCCUGGACGAAACCAUGAGCAUCCCCUUCAAUUAUGAGCAGGAGUACCACGACUGGCUCCUUCAUUGGGUGGCGGAAGGGAAGAAGGUCUUGUUUGUGGGAGGGUUCGGAUUUGAGAACGAAUACUCCCGCAGGCGGUUGCUGCAGGUAUUGGGAGCUCAAGGUGAUCCGGCGCGUCAGUUGGUGCCUUCCGAGCCCAAGAUCGUGAAACUGGAUGCCGAGGUGAUGAAUUAUGAAGCGCCGGUGCGCCCCUUGUUUCACGGGUUUGAGGACUUGCGGGCUCCGGCGGGAUCCAAGGUGUUCCUGGGGUUGGAAUUGGCGGGGGAGC